GGCCCGGCCCUGCCCGGCCCCGUCGGGGCGGAGCGAAGCGGAGCGGGGCGGCCCGACCGCCUUCCCCGGCCCCUCGCCCGCGGCGCCCAACGAGCCUCUUCCGGGCGGCGGGGCCAGGGGCGGCGCGGAGCCGGCAGCGCGGCGGCCGCGGGUGGUGUGUGGCAGCGGUGCAGAUCCCAGGCCUGUGAGAAACAAGCCUCCCUGCUGGGGCAUCGCCUUUUCCAGGAGAGGAACACGCCAAAUAACUUGGAGAGUUUUUGAAGAUGUCAGGAGAUAUACCUUUAAAUAUUAAUAUCAAGGAGCCCCGAUGGGAUCAAAGCACUUUUGUUGGACGAGCCAGUCACUUCUUUACUGUAACAGACCCCCGGAAUAUUUUGUUAUCUAAUGCCCAGCUGGAAAAUGCAAGAAAAAUUGUGCAUGAUUACAGACAAGGUAUCGUGGCACCUGGCUUGACAGUAGAUGACUUGUGGAGAGCAAAAUAUAUCUAUGAUUCAGCCUUUCACCCAGACACUGGUGAAAAGAUGGUCUUGAUUGGCCGAAUGUCAGCUCAGGUCCCCAUGAACAUGACUAUCACAGGUUGUAUGAUGACCUUUUAUAGAACGACACCAGCGGUGGUUUUCUGGCAGUGGAUUAACCAGUCCUUCAAUGCUAUAGUAAAUUACACAAACAGGAGCGGUGAUGCCCCGAUUACUGUCAGCCAGCUGGGAACAGCCUAUGUUUCUGCUACCACGGGUGCUGUUGCAACAGCUUUAGGACUUAAUGCCCUAACAAAGCAUGUCUCACCUCUUAUAGGACGGUUUGUUCCUUUUGCUGCUGUUGCUGCUGCUAACUGCAUUAAUAUUCCACUAAUGAGACAGAGGGAACUCAAGUUUGGAAUCCCCGUCACGGAUGAGAACGGAAACAGACUGGGUGAAUCAACAAAAGCAGCUCAGCAGGCAAUUACCCAGGUGGUUAUAUCAAGGAUUCUCAUGGCUGCUCCUGGCAUGGCAAUUCCUCCCUUCAUAAUGAAUACAUUGGAAAAGAAAGCCUUUUUAAAGAUCAGCAAAAAUGAGCGAUUUCUUCAGUGACUACUCAGUGGUCUUUGGUACCAUCAUGACCGUUUAUGCUCACCUGUUCCUCCCCCUCAGCCUCAAAGACUGUGAGUUGAGGUGAAACACUGCUGUGCAGGUAGUCAGUGGUAACACGUGGUAGAGAUUAGUAUUAAAACCAUUAAGGAAUGAGCUGCAUUUUUAACAAGCAGCUUCUGCAUGUUCUCUUGAGGUUUCCGAAGCACCAUCCCAUUUGCGGUACUCCGACACCAUCCACACAACGCUUUACUAACUCAUUUUUUCUUAGCCUUUGCUUUGCACACCAUCACUCUUGAAAAUAAUUCUUGUACGCUUGCCAAAGCCUAUUAAGCAACACACAGGGCCAGAAAGUAGUGAAAUGGUUGAGAAAUAAUGAAGAAAAUAGAAUGAUGUUCUUCAGUAAAAUAAAGAGAAAGAAAUGCUUCUGGAAUGCUGGCCUCAGUAAUAGCAGACUAUCAUCCUCUGAUACUUGAAAUAAGAUGUCUGUUAUAGGGCAGUAUUCAUCCUCCAUGUUCUGACAUUGUUUUCCAUUAGGACAUUUUGAUGGUAAUGUUAGUAUGAAUUAACAAUAUUCCCAAAAGCUAUUGCUAGAAAAUGACUUGAGAUUGUUUUUAGAACACAAGCACAUACUUGCUGCUUCAAUAAGAAUCAACGUAUUUAUUGUCUUGAAAAUAUAUAUAUAUUUUUUUUAAUAUACAUAGGCAUGCUUUUGCUAUAGUUUUCAGCAUUGGCCUUGGUGGCCUCUUCUGCGAUUACGCAGUGUAAUAGUUGUUGACGGGGCUGUACAAUGUCUACAUCCGUUAUCUCUGCUGACAUACACGUGACUAGUUCUGUGUGGAACCAAGCUGGUUUAUCUGCUACAGCAGAAGGACCCCAUAAACAGCCUUGCUGUGAGGCACAGUGUUUGUAGAUUUAUUUUAGUUACAGAUACCUUCUCCUAAGGAAAUAAAUUGGGUUUUUCUGUAGAAACUUCUGAAAAUUCCAGUCGACACUGAAGUUUUAAUUUAUACUCUUAACAGCUUCAGCUACUGUUUCUCUACUUUUCUACAUACUGCAUUAACAUUCUAGUUGAUUCCAGAAAUUUCCUCAUACAUCCUUAAAACAAGCUCCUUGAGAUCUCUUAGCCUGCAACUAAAAUACACAUUCAAAACUGUUACAAAACCAGAAUAGAGAGGCUUGGUUGUUGUUUUUUAAAGCAUCAUUCUUGAAUGUCUUACGUCUUAGAGUCUUCCAUGCAUUCCUAAUUUAACUGUCGUUUCAUUUAUUCAUUUUUUUUGGAAACAGGCAUAGCUAGCCUCGGAAAGCUGGCAGAUUUUGAGAUCCAACAAUGAAAGGAAGCAGUUAGAAAAAAGCUGAUCCUCCUUAUGGCUUUUGUUUGCUUAAUUAUCAUUUCUCCAUUUUCUCUGUUUGCACUAACCACUAAAGACGCCAUAAAGACAUCUGGAAGUUAAAUCCUAAUUCAUUGGGAACUGCCUUCUUCCGGAGUUAAACGAUAGAUCUCUAACACAGUAAAUUCUUCUGCUGUCUUGUACUUUUCCAUUUUAUUUCUUUGCAGGGAUGUACCGCCUGCAUUUGAGUUUUGCUUUAUUGUUUUACAUUGUUCCCUGGGCAACUCCAAUUCCUCAUAUUGACUUCCAGCCUUAAGAGUUUUACCUCACCAUCUUUCUUGACUAGUGCAGCCUGGGAACAUUCUUGAAAAAUAAAGGCUGUAACUCAGAUCAAGUACCUUUGCAAAAACUGUUCCACCACAUGAAAUAGAUGUCUACCAGUACAGAUAAUAUAAACAACACUUUGCUCUUUCUCUCUCUCUCUGUCUCAGAUUAAUCACCAACUCGCAUAAAGGCAUGAAACUGUCUAUUACUCUCAUGAUACCCUCCAACAGUCUUUCAGUUAUAAAAUCAUAUUUGGGGCUUUUCUGUUAUGUAUGUGGGGUCCCACGGUCACACUGCAGUGUGUAGCAUCAGUUCCCCUUAAUUCUCAUCAGAGACAGGAGUCAUUUGCAGAGUCUGACCUGUGUUCCCAAAUACAUGUGAUAUUUAUGAGUGCCACCGUCCUACAUCCCUUCCACUGUCAGUCACACCAGCUCUUGUCGUGAACUCUCCCCGUGUAUAAAAUGUAAAGCCUUUUGAGUGAACUUACCUCAGCUGAGGGUCAAAUGAAGCUGUGUUUAUUGGAAUGCCAGAACAGCGAAGCGCUGCUGCAUUCACUCUUUAUCCUUCUUGCUGUUGCUCUCUUUUUCCGUUUGUUAUCUCUUGUUGCAGGUGAUUGGUGAAUUGCACAGUUCUUCCUACACUCAUUUCUGGAUUGCAGAUUGACUCCAGGAAAAGAAAAAAAAACAAUAGAGGAGCAAUCUUCUACAUCAUUUCUUCCCCUUCAGGCUCUGAAGAAGUUUAAUCUACACACGCUUGUUUUCCAUGGUUCUUACGCUGCUGUGACCUUCCUUAGCACAAAGCUUUGUCCUACUGAGCUUUCAAAUUUUCCUUUUAUCAUUUUUGCUCUCAAAUACUGACAGUCUUGUGUUCACCAGUUUCCCCUCUAACUUCUUUGUCUUGAGAAAUGCGUCUUGCAGAAAAACAUCAUCUUUGUUGAAAACAUCAUCCACUGUAACAUGUGAUUUUUAACUCAUUAGCUGUGUUGUUUUAAAAUCAACUUCUUAUUAGCAUAGCAGUUGUGUAUGUCCUGCUUAUUGGAGACCCUAAUUUUAUUGUAGCAACAGAAGGCCAGCGCAGCAAUGUCAUUUAAACAAGUCUGGUUUUAUUUCAUUAGCAAUUAAUUUCAACUAAAAUUCUAACAUGGGGGGGAGUGGAUUCCUAAGUAAUUUAAACUAUUAUAUUUUUUGGCAUAUGUUCAAGUUCUGCAAAAGUUACAGUAAGGAGGAAUAUGCUAAAAAUGCAUCCAAAGGUUACACGUUGCUUUCUCAGCUUUGUAUCCACACUUCUGCCAGCCUUUCUUCCUUUAAUAAAAGGUGAACUCUUGCAGAACUGGAGUGUACUAGAUGGUGCUGCAGGGGCAAGUUCCUACACAUCAAAGCAGAUCAUAAGGCAGGGGAAAGGGCUGAGAGAGGCAGACUUACAUUUUUCCUUGACACCUCCCUUAUUUAUGGUUGGUGGCUGCAGUUGCUGUUACAACUGGAGGUCUAUUUUGUGAGCAAGUUAAAACCGUUUGAUGUCACUGAAGAGACAGGAGCUGUAACCACAUCUGGCUCUUCUUAGGGGUGCCUGGGCAAAAUUCACUGUGCCCUUAGGAGGUGUGGCAGCACCUCGCACCUGCAGCACCGCUCCAAACUUCAGCUUUGUUGCUGCUGGGGGCUCGUGUGACUCAAAUGGCCCCCAGACUCAGGAUCAGGUCAUAAGUAAAAAUCAACCACCACCUAGUGUAGUUUCUAAGGGACACGUACUCAGGAUAACAGUCUACAUUGAUAUCACUGGGAAUUUUCUUACUACUUUUCAAAAAUUGGAGCUCAUCUUUAAGAUGUGCUAGUAAUUGUUUUGCCUUCUUCGUGUCUAAGAGUCUUUUAGGUCCUAUCUAUCUCUUAGACUACAAGAAUUCCAGGAAGGUAGAAAGAGGGGGGAGAAAAAAUCCCAUGCUCACCCUGUGUUGGUUUAUUUUUAACAGAGAUAUCCUUGGAUGAGUGCUCCAAUUCAAGUUGGAUUAGUUGGAUUCUGUCUCGUGUUUGCAACACCCCUGUGUUGUGCGCUGUUUCCUCAAAAGAGUUCUAUGUCUGUAACACGCUUGGAGCCUGAACUGCAAGCCAAGAUCCAGGA